GAACCAUUGCUCUCUUUCCCUGCUUCACAUGGCUCAUGUAAUUCAGAAGAUAGACUUCAUUCAAAGAAUGAAAAAUAGGCAUUUAACAUUAACUGAGGAGCUACAAUUUUCCUGACUGUAUCCAGGAUAAAUGAUACAGGGGUUUUACAGAAUCAUAGUUACCAUUGACUCUAGGCCAAUAAUUUGGCAUUUCAUCUCAAAAUGUUGCAAUAUUAGAAAUGUGAGACAAGAGGUCAAAUGAGAAGACAUCCUCCAUCUGUGAAGUGAUUUGCAUUUUCAAUAUAUCAAUUUAGCCUCCAUCCAUAUCAGUUAUAAAGCUGCAGAACAACCAAAGAGUCCUGUGACGUAGCACUAGAGGCUUCAUUCCAGAUUAAAAUUAGUAAUUAAUCAAUAUUACCUAUCUUUAUUGUUCAAUCCUCUUAGCAAUUACUUGGAAGACAAAAUAAGUAAUGCUGGUUAAAUUUUAAGGUGGCAUAAAUCUGAGAGAAAUAGUUAAUAUUUUGAAUUCCACAUGACUCAAAGGUUCUUGCUAGGCUGGAGCAACGGAAAACAAUUUAUAUGAAAUAUCACAAAAAUAAACAUAACCCUGCACUUAAGUUCAAAAUGCCAUUUUAGCUACAUUAUGUUUUACCAGAAAUCACGUGAAAAACUAGCGGGGUUUUAGUGUGUGCCUUAAAAUCAGGAGAAGCCAGUGUGAUAUGGCUGCCCAAAAUGCUAACAGAAUUUUAGAUGACAGUAAUAGACAUCUAGUCCAAAACAGGAGAGGUAAUGGUUCUGUUGUACAGUGGUCAGAUAUCACAUCACUAAGAGAGAAAAGGUAACACAACCUCCUUCACCAACUCUGCAAAUUCGAAGAAGUCGUCAUUUGAGCCUUAGUGUUCUCAUCUGAAAAUGGAAAUAAUAACACCUGACAAAGAUAUUCUCAUGAAAUCAUUGUAAAAUCAAAUGAGUUAGUCUUCAUAAAAGUGUUUUGAAAAUUAUGAAGUAUCAUUGCUCUGGACAUCUGCUGUUUGUCAUUCAACAAUCAUCUUCCUCUUUUUGGCAAUUGCAAUUCAGCCCUCCUUUGGGGAAUCUCUCCUCCACCAUUUUGACCAUGUGGUGGGCCCAACUUGGCUGAGGCUGCAGAGAUUGGUUUAGGAAUGGCCACAUGACCCAGUCAGAGCCAAGGAGACAUGAGGAGACUAUGCUAGGGCUUUUGAGAACAAAGAGCUCUUGCUCCUUAGCUAUAUUUGGUCAUAUAAAGAGUCGAGUCUUGUGAUAGCAUCCUGCUACCCAGGGAGAAGUCAGCCUGAAGAUGAAGCUUAACCAACAGAAGUGGCGGGGAAAGGCACAAAUGAAAGAGACAAAGAAACUAAGCCCUGAUGACCUCAUUUGAUAUUCUGGAUCAGACCCUCCCAGCCAAAGCCAGUAUUCCCUUGCAGUGUUCUAUAUUCCAAGCCCAUAUAUUACUUUUUUUAAGUCAGUUUGAGCAGGGUUUUUAUGUCACUUGCAACAGAAAGAGUCCUACAAUUGUGCAUAUAUUCUAAUGUCUUGGAAAAUCUAGUUAUUCAAAUAUAUGGAAAUAAUACAUGAUAGAGUUUUCAAAUGGAAAAGAUAGAUUCUACAAAAAUCAAAUUUCUUUACAUUGUGUUAGAUUAUUAUGCUUAUGUUAGAUUGUUAUGUUAGACUGUGUUUACUAAUACGAGCAAAAUUUCAUUAUUGACUAUGUCUUGGAUUCUAAGACUUACAUAAGGAUUUAUAUAACAACUUUGUUCUAAAAAGAAUUUUUUUAGCAUUCUGCCUCUGGGAAAUCCAUGUUUCCAGCCUACCCCAUCUUGUCUUCCUUGUCUUCCUGCUGAGCUAAUAGCCAGAUCUCCAACUAAAACAGCAGUGCCCAUUUCUGAUUAAUGGGACCUUUCUCCCCACCUUUUUUAAUGGCUUUCUCCCAUUGUGAUUUCAAUCAGAACAUUGCUGGGAAUCCCUCCUGGUGCCUCUCCAGGACCACUUCUAUUGCCAUUUCUUAUAGACUCCUCCUCAGGAAGAGAAAAGCCAAAGAAAUGUCCCCAUACUCCAAAGCUGGAAUCAAUGUGGAAUACGGAGAAAUAAAUUAUAGCAUUUUCCAGCCAGAAAGGCCUAUAGGCAUCAUCACCUGAUCAGCAAUGGGCUAAAUCCAGCCCACCUGAUUUUUAUUUUUAAUUUUUAAAAAUAUUUUAUUUAACCUAAUACAUCUAAAAUAUUAUUUCACAUGCAAUGAAUGAAAACAUUAUUAAUGAGAUAAUUUAUAUUUUAUCAUUCUAAGUCUUCAAAAUCCAGUGUGUGUUCUGUACUUAAAGUAUAUCUCAAUUGGGCUAUACCUUUUUUUUUAUUAUACUUUAAGUUCUAGGGUACAUGUGCACAACGUGCAGGUUUGUUACAUAGGUAUACAUGCGCUACGUUGUUUUGCUGCACCCAUCAACUCAUCAUUUACAUUAGGUAUUUCUCCUAAUGCUAUCCCUCCCAUAGCCCUCCAUCCCCCAACAGGCCCCAGUGUGUGAUGUUCCCUGCCCUGUGUCCA
rnacentral:lncRNA from 10 species